rnacentral:tRNA from 1 species
GCAGGUAUCGACCACAUGUGAACUUCUGCUUCCCAAGCAGACAGCGCGGGUUCGAUUCCCGUCAUCGGCU